AAUUCAGUUUCAUUCCGGCUUCGUGCUGGAUUACUUUUAUCUCCUUGUCUUUGACGCACUUGUUGUUUCCUGGGCGGGUUCCCCCCCCGAGGACACCUACCUCUGUUUUUUUUAUGCUUCUGAAUCAAACAUCCAUAUAACUCAUGUCUUUCAUUUACGGAUCUCUUGGUUGAUCUCUUGGUUCUGGCAUCGAUGAAUAACGCAACUAAUGUGAAUUGCUAAAUUCAAUUGAUCAAUUCAUCUUUGAUCCAAUCUUUGACCGCCAUUGCGCCCUUUGGUAUUCUGUUGGAAUGCCUGUUCAACCGUCAUUUGUACCCGGUGCUGGGACUGGUGUUGGGCGCUUUUGUCUUUGGCCUGGCCCAACAACUCGAGCUAAAACGAUUGGCAGCCGGCCUACUGGUUUCUGGUAAUCGUCAUUUUUGCCCUUUGCACCCCAACUUCUGAAUGUUGACCAUCAGAACUACAUUUUUACCUUUGACAACUUAAUCAUAUAGGGAACCCCGACUGAAACUUAAGCAUAUCAAUAGCCGGAGGAA
rnacentral:rRNA from 1 species